rnacentral:rRNA from 1 species
GACGAACGCUGGCGGCGUGCCUAAUACAUGCAAGUUGAGCGCUGAAGGUUGGUACUUGUACCAACUGGAUGAGCAGCGAACGGGUGAGUAACGCGUGGGGAAUCUGCCUUUGAGCGGGGGACAACAUUUGGAAACGAAUGCUAAUACCGCAUAAAAACUUUAAACACAAGUUUUAAGUUUGAAAGAUGCAAUUGCAUCACUAAAAGAUGAUACCGCGUUGUAUUAGCUAGUUGGUGAGGUAAAGGCUCACCAAGGCGAUGAUACAUAGCCGACCUGAGAGGGUGAUCGGCCACAUUGGGACUGAGACACGGCCCAAACUCCUACGGGAUGCAGCAGUAGGGAAUCUUCGGCAAUGGACGAAAGUCUGACCGAGCAACGCCGCGUGAGUGAAGAAGGUUGUCGGAUCGUAAAACUCUGUUGGUAGAGAAGAACGUUGGUGAGAGUGGAAAGCUCAUCAAGUGACGGUAACUACACAGAAAGGGACGGCUAACUACGUG